rnacentral:rRNA from 1 species
UAGCACGAUCCAGCCUACGGGUCACAGCGCGAAACUUCACACUGCAGAAACUGUAUAGGGACUCCAAGUGUGUGCAUUUUAUGACACUUUUCUGACUCUUAAUCGGUUCAGGAAUAAGGGCUGGGAAAGACCGGUGCCAGCCGCCGCGGUAAUACCGGCAGCUCAAGUGGUCGUCGCUUUUAUUGGGCCUAAAACGUCCGUAGCCUGUUUGGUAAAUCUGUGGGUAAAUCAACUAGCUUAACUAGUUGAAUUCUGCAGAGACUGCCAGACUAGGAACCGGGAGAGGUGUGGGGUACUCAAGGGGUAGGGGUAAAAUCCUGUCAUCCUUUGAGGACCACCAGUUGCGAAGGCGCCACACUAGAACGGAUUCGACGGUCAGGGACGAAGCCUAGGGGCACGAACCGGAUUAGAUACCCGGGUAGUCCUAGGUGUAAACGCUGUGAACUUGGUGUCGGGAGUCCGCAAUGGGCCCCCGGUGCCGGAGUGAAGAUGUUAAGUUCACUGCCUGGGGAGUACGGUCGCAAGGCUGAAACUUAAAUGAAUUGACGG